rnacentral:lncRNA from 1 species
AAGCUGCUCGCGUCCUGGGAACACAGUGUUCCAGUCGUGCUCCCUGGAGAUCAUGCAGUUGGGAAUUCUCUGACUGUAAAGCGGACCUUCACAGAGCCACGGUCACCAGGCUGGCAAACGUCUUUUCCCAUUGAGGCAUCUUUCUGGCUCUGGAGAGUGAAAGUUUUCAAAGGAAGAUAAACUUUCCUGGGCUCUCCAAACCAAAAUGGUGAAAAAGCUUCGGACUCCUGGGCCCCAACUUAAACUGCUUUGAGUUCUAGAAGCUUCACUCCCAGACUCAGCUCUCAGAAGUUAUGGAGGGCAAACAAGAGCCCACCCAGGACAAGCAGUCUCACAGGGGGACAGGGCCAUGAGUUUCCUCUUGGAACCAUUCCUUCCAGGUGCUAAGGCUUGGCUCCUGGGAAGUCACAGACGGACCUGAGUGUAUACACCACAUAUACUGUGUAGUGUGCAUGUGUGCUUGGCUCUACUCUGCUUCAUGUAGACUUAGUUCUUCGGGUAACACUCUUGGAGGGUUAGAACACGCGUCAGUCUAUCCUGAGAAGACCCUGUGUAUUUCCUACUGCUGCCUCACACUAAAUUGUUUAUUCUCUUGAGCCAGGAGUUAAACACUUCCAGUAAAAGUGUUAGAUACUAAACAGUGUGUUUUGUGGGUUAUAGAAACGGUCUUACCUGUGUGUAUAUAUAUACAUAUGUGUACAAACACAAUACAGAUAUAUAAAAGAACAUUAAGAAAUUGCACUUUACAUAUAUGGGUGUUUUCUCUGCAUGUAUGUCUGUGAACCACAUACAUGCCUUGUACCCACAAAGGCUAGAAGAGGACAUCAAACCCCCUAGGUAGGACUGGAGUUACAGUGGUGAGCCACCAUGCAGGUGCUGGGAAUUGAAUUGGAG